GUACACUCCUGCGGGAGGCAGCAGUGGGGAAUUUUGGACAAUGGGCGAAAGCCUGAUCCAGCAAUGCCGCGUGAGUGAAGAAGGCCUUCGGGUUGUAAAGCUCUUUUGUCAGGGAAGAAACGGUGAAAGCUAAUAUCUUUUGCUAAUGACGGUACCUGAAGAAUAAGCACCGGCUAACUACGUGCCAGCAGCCGCGGUAAUACGUAGGGUGCAAGCGUUAAUCGGAAUUACUGGGCGUAAAGCGUGCGCAGGCGGUUUUGUAAGUCUGAUGUGAAAUCCCCGGGCUCAACCUGGGAAUUGCAUUGGAGACUGCAAGGCUAGAAUCUGGCAGAGGGGGGUAGAAUUCCACGUGUAGCAGUGAAAUGCGUAGAUAUGUGGAGGAACACCGAUGGCGAAGGCAGCCCCCUGGGUCAAGAUUGACGCUCAUGCACGAAAGCGUGGGGAGCAAACAGGAUUAGAUACCCGAGUAGUCCCAU
rnacentral:rRNA from 1 species